CAAACAUGAAAUGUAAAGUAAUGCAGAUAUAAUACAGUAACUAAACCUCAAACCACAGAGAUUCAGUUAGAAGCUACAAAUAUACUGAGAGCUCAACACAC